rnacentral:rRNA from 1 species
GACGAACGCUGGCGGCGUGCAUAACACAUGCAAGUCGAACGAAGAGCGAUGGAAGCUUGCUUCUAUCAAUCUUAGUGGCGAACGGGUGAGUAACGCGUAAUCAACCUGCCCUUCAGAGGGGGACAACAGUUGGAAACGACUGCUAAUACCGCAUACGAUCUAAACUCGGCAUCGAGGAUAGAUGAAAGGUGGCCUCUACAUGUAAGCUAUCACUGAAGGAGGGGAUUGCGUCUGAUUAGCUAGUUGGAGGGGUAACGGCCCACCAAGGCGAUGAUCAGUAGCCGGUCUGAGAGGAUCUACGGCCACAUUGGGACUGAGACACGGCCCAGACUCCUACGGGAGGCAGCAGUGGGGAAUCUUCCGCAAUGGAC